CCAUUUUAUUCAUCAUAAACCUCAUGUUAACCACUAAUCAUUCAUUUCUUCCAUCACUCGACAUGAUUGUUGUGAGUUGCAAGAUGUGCAUAAAGCUAAGUUUGGGGUGGUAAUCUUGAAAGAUAGGGCAAGUGCAUAAUAAGAGAUCAUACAAAAAGAAAAGAUUUGUGUAUGUCCAAAAAGAAAAAAAAAGAAACAAAAGAGAAAAAUGCACUUGCCGAGACUUAAGACUCUAACACCUAUAAAAUGCUCGCAAAGAAUUGAGUAGAAAAAAGAGUCAAAAGAGUGAAAUUAACCCCCAGAGUAUAAGUGAUGCACUAGAAAAAAGAGAAAGAAAAAUCACACAACAUGAAUGCCGAGUUCAAAACCUUUUGUUAUCCAUUUUUGUGUUUAUCCCACCGUACCCAAGCC
rnacentral:lncRNA from 1 species